rnacentral:rRNA from 2 species
GGGAGGGUCAUUGGAAACUGGGAUACUUGAGUGCCUAAGAGGAGAGUGGAAUUCCACGUGUAGCGGUGAAAUGCGUAGAGAUGUGGAGGAACACCAGUGGCGAAGGCGACUCUCUGGUCUGUAACUGACGCUGAGGCGCGAAAGCGUGGGGAGCGAACAGGAUUAGAUACCCUGGUACUCCACGCCGUAAACGAUGAGUGCUAAGUGUUAGAGGGUUUCCGCCCUUUAGUGCUGCAGCUAACGCAUUAAGCACUCCGCCUGGGGAGUACGGUCGCAAGACUGAAACUCAAAGGAAUUGACGGGGGCCCGCACAAGCGGUGGAGCAUGUGGUUUAAUUCGAAGCAACGCGAAGAACCUUACCAGGUCUUGACAUCCUU